rnacentral:rRNA from 1 species
GUAAGGAAUAUUGCACAAUGGGCGCAAGCCUGAUGCAGCAACGCCGCGUGCCGGAUGAAGGUCUUCGGAUCGUAAACGGCUUUUCUCAGGGACGAGCAAGGACGGUACCUGAGGAAUAAGUCUCGGCUAACUACGUGCCAGCAGCCGCGGUAACACGUAGGAGACGAGCGUUAUCCGGAUUUACUGGGCGUAAAGCGCGGGUCGGUGGGGUCUUAAGUCAUGCGUGAAAGCUCUCGGCUUAACCGGGAGAGGUCGUGUGAAACUGGGAUUCUCAGAGGUAGGUAGAGGCAGAUGGAAUUCCGGGUGGAGUGGUGAAAUGCGUAGAGAUCCGGAGGAACACCAGUGGCGAAGGCGAUCUGCUAGGCCUGACCUGACACUCAGCCGCGACAGCAUGGGGAGCGAACGGGAUUAGAUACCCUAGUAGUCC